AUUGAACGCUGGCGGCGGGCCUAACACAUGCAAGUCGAGCGGAUGAAGGGAGCUUGCUCCUGGAUUCAGCGGCGGACGGGUGAGUAAUGCCUAGGAAUCUGCCUGGUAGUGGGGGAUAACGUCCGGAAACGGGCGCUAAUACCGCAUACGUCCUGAGGGAGAAAGUGGGGGAUCUUCGGACCUCACGCUAUCAGAUGAGCCUAGGUCGGAUUAGCUAGUUGGUGGGGUAAAGGCCUACCAAGGCGACGAUCCGUAACUGGUCUGAGAGGAUGAUCAGUCACACUGGAACUGAGACACGGUCCAGACUCCUACGGGAGGCAGCAGUGGGGAAUAUUGGACAAUAGGCGAAAGCCUGAUCCAGCCAUGCCGCGUGUGUGAAGAAGGUCUUCGGAUUGUAAAGCACUUUAAGUUGGGAGGAAGGGCAGUAAGUUAAUACCUUGCUGUUUUGACGUUACCAACAGAAUAAGCACCGGCUAACUUCGUG
rnacentral:rRNA from 1 species